rnacentral:misc_RNA from 1 species
UUUCCGUAGGUGAACCUGCGGAAGGAUCAUUAAAAAAUGUGGUACCAAUUAUUGGUACUAAUUAAUCAUCCUACCCUUUGUGAAUUUGUUUGUAUGAAUUUUUUUAAAUGGGUCUUUCCCUAAGUUGGAUUGUUAGUAAAAUACAAAAAGACUUGGGGAAUGACUUUUUUAAAAGACUUUUUUUAAUUAAACUUUUUGUAUUCAUUUGUCUAAAAUUUAUUUUUAUAAUAUAAAAACAACUUUUGACAAUGGAUCUCUUGGUUCUCGCAACGAUGAAGAACGCAGCAAAAUGCGAUAAGUAGUGUGAAUUGCAGAAUACGUGAAUCAUCGAAUCUUCGAACGCAUAUUGCACUUUUUUAGUUUACUAAAAAAGUAUGUCUGUUUGAGUAUCAGUAAAAUAUUCUCACAAACAUAUAUUGUUUGUGGUUAUGAGUGUUUUACAACGAUAAACAAGUUGUUUCACUUUAAAUUCUUUUUGUAAGUUUUACUACAAUUUACAAAUUAAAAUUGGAUAAAAUUUUCCUUUAACGAGGAAUAACCUAAACAAUUUUAAAUUUUUUGGUUCGUACAUCAUGAAGGAAUCUAUACAUAAAUAACUUGAUCUCAAAUCAGAUAAGAGUACCGCUGAACUUAAGCAUAUCAAUAAGCGGAGGAAAAGAAACUAACAAGGAUUCCCUUAGUAACGGCGAGUGAAGCGGGAAGAGCUCAAAUUUGAAAUCUUCAAGGUUUGACCUUGACGAAUUGUGUAGUUUAUAGAAGUGUUUUUUGUUGGAGUUUUGGUAAAAGUUCUUUGGAAUAGGACAUCAUAGAGGGUGAGAAUCCCGUACUUGACCAUGACUUUCCAGCUGUGUGAUACACUUUCAAAGAGUCGAUUGUUUGGGAAUGCAGUCCAAAAUGGGUGGUAAAUUUCAUCUAAAGCUAAAUAUUGGCGAGAGACCGAUAGCGAACAAGUACCGUGAGGGAAAGAUGAAAAGAACUUUGAAAAGAGAGUUAAACAGUACGUGAAAUUGUCAAAAGUGAAGCGUUUGACACCAGUGUUGUUUUCUCGAAAAUCAAUUUAAUGAGUUCUUGUUUUUAAGUUAUUGUGACUUUAUCAGCGCAUUUCUUAUUUUACUUGACUCAUUGAAUGCACUUUUCGUUUAACAAGUCAACAUCAAUUUCUUUGGUGGUAAAAAGUUUAAAGGAAGGUGGCUUGGACUUCGGUUCAAGUGUUUAUAGCCUUUUUUCUAUGCCAUCGGAGAGAUUGAGGUCUGCAGCGUAGAUCCUUCGGGGUUAGAUACUUUGUGCUAAGUUAUAGUUUUUUAUAGACAACUUGUUGACUAUAAUUAACCUGUAAUUUACUCGCUUAGGCUAUUU